rnacentral:rRNA from 1 species
AGCAGCCGCGGUAAUUCCAGCUCCAAUAGCGUAUAUUAAAGUUGUUGCAGUUAAAAAGCUCGUAGUUGAAUUUCGGGGUUAGUAGGUUGGUCGUGCCACUGGUAUGUACUGGCUCUACUGAUCCCUCCUUCUUGUAGAACCGUAAUGCCAUUAACUUGGUGUUGCGGGGAAACAGGACUGUUACUUUGAAAAAAUUAGAGUGUUUAAAGCAGGCUAACGCUUGAAUACAUUAGCAUGGAAUAAUGAAAUAGGACGCUCGAUCCUAUUUUGUUGGUUUCUAGGAUUGACGUAAUGAUUAAUAGGGAUAGUUGGGGGCAUUAGUAUUCAAUUGUCAGAGGUGAAAUUCUUGGAUUUAUUGAAGACUAACUACUGCGAAAGCAUUUGCCAAGGAUGUUUUCAUUAAUCAAGAACGAAAGUUAGGGGAUCGAAGACGAUCAGAUACCGUCGUAGUCUUAACCAUAAACUAUGCCGACUAGGGAUCGGAUGAUGUUAAUUUUUUAAUGACUCAUUCGGCGCCUUACG